UACAGAGGUCUCAAGCGUUGUUCGGAUUCAUUGGGCGUAAAGGGUGCGUAGGUGGCGCUGUAAGUCGGGUGUGAAAUUUCGGAGCUUAACUCCGAAACUGCAUUCGAUACUGCGGUGCUUGAGGACUGGAGAGGAGAACGGAAUUCCUGGUGUAGCGGUGAAAUGCGCAGAUAUCAGGAGGAACACCGGUGGCGAAGGCGGUUCUCUGGGCCUUACCUGACGCUGAGGAGCGAAAGCGUGGGGAGCAAACAGG
rnacentral:rRNA from 1 species